rnacentral:rRNA from 1 species
GACAGAGGGUGCAAGCGUUGUCUGGAAUUAUUGGGCGUAAAGAGCUCGUAGGCGGUCUGUCGCGUCGGCUGUGAAAACCCGGAGCUCAACUCCGGGCCUGCAGUCGAUACGGGCAAACUGGAGUACUGCAGGGGAGACUGGAAUUCCUGGUGUAGCGGUGAAAUGCGCAGAUAUCAGGAGGAACACCGGUGGCGAAGGCGGGUCUCUGGGCAGUAACUGACGCUGAGGAGCGAAAGCGUGGGGAGCGAACAGG